rnacentral:rRNA from 1 species
GACGAACGCUGGCGGCGUGCCUAAUACAUGCAAGUAGAACGCUGAAGGAGGAGCUUGCUUCUCUGGAUGAGUUGCGAACGGGUGAGUAACGCGUAGGUAACCUGCCUGGUAGCGGGGGAUAACUAUUGGAAACGAUAGCUAAUACCGCAUAAUAGUAGAUGUUGCAUGACAUUUGCUUAAAAGGUGCAAUUGCAUCACUACCAGAUGGACCUGCGUUGUAUUAGCUAGUUGGUGGGGUAACGGCUCACCAAGGCGACGAUACAUAGCCGACCUGAGAGGGUGAUCGGCCACACUGGGACUGAGACACGGCCCAGACUCCUACGGGGGGCAGCAGUAGGGAAUCUUCGGCAAUGGACGGAAGUCUGACCGAGCAACGCCGCGUGAGUGAAGAAGGUUUUCGGAUCGUAAAGCUCUGUUGUAAGAGAAGAACGAGUGUGAGAGUGGAAAGUUCACACUGUGACGGUAUCUUACCAGAAAGGGACGGCUAACUACGUG